AAGGAAUUUGACAAUUUCACAUACACCGUUGCGUAGAGCACGACGAAAUGAGUUCGUAGACACGAAGUGAGCUCGAAUCGGAGCUUUAACGAAGAAAAUACGAUUAAAAUAUCACGAGGGGCAAAAUGGUAAAUUGGAAAAUCAGAUUUUAUAAAACCUCUCUCUCUCUCUCUCUCUCUCUCUCUCUCUCUCUCUCUCUCUCCCC
rnacentral:lncRNA from 1 species